rnacentral:rRNA from 1 species
CCUACGGGCGGCAGCAGUGGGGAAUAUUGCACAAUGGGGGAAACCCUGAUGCAGCAACGCCGCGGGAGUGAUGACGGCCUUCGGGUUGUAAAGCGCUGUCUUCAGGGACGAGAAUGACGGUACCUGAGGAGGAAGCCACGGCGAAAGACGUGCCAGCAGCCGCGGUAAUACGUAGGUGGCGAGCGUUGUCCGGAUUUACUGGGCGGAAAGGGAGCGUAGGCGGUCUUUGAAGUGAGAUGUGAAAUACUCGGGCUCAACUUGAGUGCUGCAUUUCAAACUGGAAGUCUAGCGUGCAGGAGAGGAGAUUGGACUUCCUCGUGUAGCGGUGACAUGCGUAGAGAUU